rnacentral:rRNA from 1 species
UGGAGCAUGUGGUUUAAUUCGAAGCAACGCGAAGAACCUUACCAGGUCUUGACAUCCCGAUGCUAUUUCUAGAGAUAGAAAGUUACUUCGGUACAUCGGUGACAGGUGGUGCAUGGUUGUCGUCAGCUCGUGUCGUGAGAUGUUGGGUUAAGUCCCGCAACGAGCGCAACCCCUAUUGUUAGUUGCCAUCAUUCAGUUGGGCACUCUAGCGAGACUGCCGGUAAUAAACCGGAGGAAGGUGGGGAUGACGUCAAAUCAUCAUGCCCUUAUGUUCUGGGCUACACACGUGCUACAAUGGCCGGUACAGACGGAGGCGAAGCCGCGAGGCGGAGCAAAUCCGAAAAAGCCGGUCUCAGUUCGGAUUGCAGGCUGCAAUUCGCCUGCAUGAAGUCGGAAUCGCUAGUAAUCGCAGGUCAGCAUACUGCGGUGAAUACGUUCCCGGGCCUU